GAUGAACGCUGGCGGCGUGCCUAAUACAUGCAAGUAGAACGCUGAAGCUUGGUGCUUGCACCGAGCGGAUGAGUUGCGAACGGGUGAGUAACGCGUAGGUAACCUGCCUCUUAGCGGGGGAUAACUAUUGGAAACGAUAGCUAAUACCGCAUAAAAGUCGAUAUCGCAUGAUAUUGAUUUGAAAGGUGCAAAUGCAUCACUAAGAGAUGGACCUGCGUUGUAUUAGCUAGUUGGUGAGGUAACGGCUCACCAAGGCGACGAUACAUAGCCGACCUGAGAGGGUGAUCGGCCACACUGGGACGGAGACACGGCCCAGACUCCUACGGGAGGCAGCAGUAGGGAAUCUUCGGCAAUGGGGGCAACCCUGACCGAGCAACGCCGCGUGAGUGAAGAAGGUUUUCGGAUCGUAAAGCUCUGUUGUAAGAGAAGAACGAGUGUGAGAGUGGAAAGUUCACACUGCGACGGUAACUUACCAGAAAGGGACGGCUAACUACGUG
rnacentral:rRNA from 1 species